ensembl:lncRNA
GUUCUGAGAGUGGUUGAGCAGAAUGGGAUAUAGAGUGUGGGAGGUUAGGCCUGAUGUCCUCUUAAACGGAGGGCCAGCAGUUCAAAUUUCAGUCUUAUAACUAGAAGGAACAAGGAACUGCAGUCAAAAGAUUCUGUACAGGCUUCCUUGGGUUUCUGGACUCUCUUGGUGUUCUUAUUACUGCUAACUAUCUGCAUACCUUAGUUCUGCAUGGGCAAGUUCUUGUCUGGCUCUCACUCUUUUCAUAUAUAAAGUGAGUCACUUCCCAGGCUCAUGUGAUGUUUUCAUUUUCUGAAAUGACCCCUACUUCCUUGCCAGGCUGUUGAAAUCCUUCCCAUUCUUUAAGAAUCCUCUCAGAAGCCGUCUAUACUGUUAGAUUUUUCUCAGUUUAAUUACCCAUUUCAACCAGAUGUGACCUUUCUGUUCUUAGAAUCACUUUAACACUGUCCGAACCAUCCUAAUGGCAGAUAUCAAUCUUUCAAAUAAUACAGUUAUUUAUGUUUAUGUCAUCCUUGUCAAAAACUCCAUGAGAAUAGGACAUGGGAUGCAUUCUUUUUGCCCAAAUAGGUGCUCAGUAACUAACUUUUGAAUGAACUAGUAAAGCAUACUUCUGGAGGAUGAAACAGUAUUGAAGUAACAGAGACUAUUAGAUAAAGAAAAAGUGAGAAAUACCUUGUAUGGGCUUCCCUGGUAGCUCAGAUGGUCAGGAAUCUGCCUUCAAUGCAGGAGAAGUGAAUGACACACACACACACAGGAUAUUUCAAAUUUCUUGGGACAUUUAGGAAAGUAGACAGUGUGACUUUAUUAGAUCUAAGAGUAGUCUGUGUGCCUCUUACUUCAAACUUGAAGCAGUUACAGAUACAGUAAAGCUAUCCUUAGAAGACUAAGGAACCUGCUCAUGUUAAAUGGAAAAUAACAGAGGAAGAAAGGAAGAGGUGAAAAGUAAUAGAUUUAAAACUAUUGGAAAUACAAGGCAAGUUAACUGAAAGAAAUAAUAUGAUUCCUAGACUUUAAAAAAUGCAAAUGUAAAAUUUUUACUAAUAUGAAUUAGUGAGGAGUUUCUCUGGACUAAUGGUUGCCUAAAAAAAUCUUUAUUGGGAAGCAUAUUAGGUAUUAAG